GAUGAACGCUGGCGGCGUGCUUAACACAUGCAGGUCGAACGGAAAGGCCCAAGCUUGCUUGGGUACUCGAGUGGCGAACGGGUGAGUAACACGUGGGUGAUCUGCCCUGCACUUCGGGAUAAGCCUGGGAAACUGGGUCUAAUACCGGAUAGGACGAUGGUUUGGAUGCCAUUGUGGAAAGUUUUUUCGGUGUGGGAUGAGCUCGCGGCCUAUCAGCUUGUUGGUGGGGUAAUGGCCUACCAAGGCGUCGACGGGUAGCCGGCCUGAGAGGGUGUACGGCCACAUUGGGACUGAGAUACGGCCCAGACUCCUACGGGAGGCAGCAGUGGGGAAUAUUGCACAAUGGGCGCAAGCCUGAUGCAGCGACGCCGCGUGGGGGAUGACGGCCUUCGGGUUGUAAACUCCUUUCGCUAGGGACGAAGCGUUUUUGUGACGGUACCUGGAGAAGAAGCACCGGCUAACUACGUG
rnacentral:rRNA from 1 species